GGACAUUACCGAGUUUACAACUCCCAAACCCCUGUGAACAUACCUAUACGUUGCCUCGGCGGAUCAGCCCGCGCCCUGUAAAAAGGGACGGCCCGCCCGAGGACCCUAAACUCUGUUUUUAGUGGAACUUCUGAGUAAAACAAACAAAUAAAUCAAAACUUUCAACAACGGAUCUCUUGGUUCUGGCAUCGAUGAAGAACGCAGCAAAAUGCGAUAAGUAAUGUGAAUUGCAGAAUUCAGUGAAUCAUCGAAUCUUUGAACGCACAUUGCGCCCGCCAGUAUUCUGGCGGGCAUGCCUGUUCGAGCGUCAUUUCAACCCUCAAGCUCAGCUUGGUGUUGGGACUCGCGGUAACCCGCGUUCCCCAAAUCGAUUGGCGGUCACGUCGAGCUUCCAUAGCGUAGUAAUCAUACACCUCGUUACUGGUAAUCGUCGCGGCCACGCCGUAAAACCCCAACUUCUGAAUGUUGACCUCGGAUCAGGUAGGAAUACCCGCUGAACUUAAGCAUAUCAAUAAGCGGAGGGAAAAAAAACCAACCGCUUA
rnacentral:rRNA from 1 species